CGAAAGCCUGACGGAGCAAUACCGCGUGAGGGAGGAAGGCUCUUGGGUUGUAAACCUCUUUUCUCAGGGAAUAAAAAAAUGAAGGUACCUGAGGAAUAAGCAUCGGCUAACUCCGUGCCAGCAGCCGCGGUAAUACGGAGGAUGCAAGCGUUAUCCGGAAUGAUUGGGCGUAAAGCGUCCGCAGGUGGCUGUGUAAGUCUGCUGUUAAAGAGUGAGGCUCAACCUCAUAAAAGCAGUGGAAACUACACAGCUAGAGUGCGUUCGGGGCAGAGGGAAUUCCUGGUGUAGCGGUGAAAUGCGUAGAGAUCAGGAAGAACACCGGUGGCGAAGGCGCUCUGCUAGGCCGCAACUGACACUGAGGGACGAAAGCUAGGGGAGCG
rnacentral:rRNA from 1 species